rnacentral:sRNA from 1 species
GUGCUGCUGGCGCCCGGCCCCCGCGGGGUGCAGCUCUGCGCGUUCUCAUGCUGUCUCUCUCUCUUUCCCUCCGCGCUGCCUCUCCGAGGUCCUCCCGCCGAGCCCCGGCGCGGGGCAUGAGGAGCCCCCGGGUGCCGCCCAGAGACCAGCAGGCUGCGCGCACACCUAGCCAGCGGCAGACGGGGACAUGAGCAGCGCGCACGGGGUCCCGCGCCCGGCGGCCAGCCCUAUCCGGCGGCGGCCAGCGGGUCAACGCUGCCCGGGAGAAUGAGGCAGGAGCCGGCGGCAGCCUCCUUUUUUUCCUUCUCCUCGCCUUCCUGCGGCUCCGGCGCUCCGGGUCCGGGCCGGGCUGCGGCUCUGCUGCGUGCCCCGCGCGCCCCUCAACCGCCUCCGGAUGCGCUUCUCGAUCUCAGCCCGCUGUCGCCUUCUCUCUGACCCUGGUCCCUUCCACUGCAGGCUGUUGCUCCGGUGUCUCUGGGCUGCUCCACCACGUGGUGCCUGCCCAUCAUGGCAUCCACCACCAGGUGGCCUUUUUCUUGGUUAGCCUGGCAAGGAAGAUAAAGACAUUUGCAACCAAGAUGGUAAUCACUAGUGAAAAUGAUGAAGACAGAGGAGGUCAAGAAAAAGAAAGUAAAGAGGAGAGUGUCUUGGCAAUGCUGGGGAUUAUCGGGACCAUUCUGAACCUGAUUGUGAUCAUAUUUGUCUACAUAUACACCACCCUGUGAAUGGCCCAGAGCGUCCUCAGAGGCCUCAGAAUGGCCAAAGACGGAAGUCCUGCGUGUCGGCGCAUCACUGACCAGACCCUGCGAGAACAAGCAGGCUUGACCCGCACAUACCACCCAAUCAAAUGCACCUUCAAACUUUACAAAAGGUCACACAAAUAGACCGAUCCUGCUGCAGGGAGCAGACACUAAAGCACAAUGAUUCCAACAAAACUCAUUCACAGCACUAGGAACUCAACGUCUUUGGCAGGGGGCCCAGAAGAAUGCUUGGAAGACCAGCCUCUGACACCAUCAGUGAGCGGAUGGGUGCAGAAAUUCAUUAUUCCAGAUCGCUGACAGAUAUCACAUAUUUGAAAAGAUGAAUAGGGCGGACAUGGCUCAGAUGUGUGUCUCCCAGGACAAGUGUUUCAUCUUCACUUGACGAGCUAUUUAGUGGAAAAACCACAGGCGCAGCCCUUUGACAGGCAUCCCAUUCAUCAAAAGUGUCUAACUAUUUGAUACUGGGGAGAUAACUUAUUUUUCUUUUUUCAUUGGCUUGACAUGUGUAUCUGUUCAUGUCAAGGUUUAUAAAUAUAUAUUUUUAAUAAAUGUGCUCUAUUUUUUAGCAUGAACCAAAUACUUGGAGAGGCACUCCCAGAUCCAUAGAGCUUUCCUUAGUUUUAUCUGCUUUGUCCCCUCCUCCCCCAACUACAGAUGUUCUGUUGUGGAGCCAUUCUAGUCCUUUUGUCUCAUCUUGAGUCUUUUACCUUGCGCUUUUGUUCUCUCUCUCUCCUCUCUCUCUGCCUCUUUGGUCUGAAGGACAUUUUCCCAUACUGUCAGCCAUGGUUUUGGGUGCAUGUUUUAAGAUUGUCCAUUGAGUGGCUUUUUGUUGUUAUCUCGGAGAUAUAAAAUGAUUGUGGGCAUGCAGACCUUAGAUGCACCCUAUCUUUACUGAGAAUUAUGCAUGAAUAAGGGCUGAGUGAUAGAUCAGCUUAAAAUUAAAAGGACUACCUUUGAGGAAGAAGAGCGUGGCUAUAUUUGCAGAUGAACUUUUGAACAGAAUAUUCAGCUUCUUACCGGCAGCGUUAUUGUUUCAUUCUUGUGACCAUUCGUUUAUCAGAUUUUGAUUUUAGCGGUCAUGUACCGCGAGAGUUGGGAAGAACAAGGGGGAAAGCUCGGGAUUAGGUGCAUUACUCCUUCCUUUGCAAGAUACCUGGGAUCCUCCUCAAAAGCGGGUGGGGUAUAAAUGACACAAGAACUCCCCCAGGAGAUCUCAUGGUGAUUCAGGCUGUGAGGACAGCCCUGUGACAGGUGACUUUUCAGGGACAUGAGGAGGGGAUUUAAUGAUUGCCCUAAAGGACUUCUGUAUUUUUAAAGCCCCUGGUUUACACCCACAUGAAGCUAUUUCCUCUCUGGCAGGGAUGGUUGCAUAAAAACAAAUUAGCUCCCUUCUGGCUCCCUGAAAUGGGCCCUUGCCUGGCUACAGUGGCAUGGCCUUAAAGAGAGGGUUAGUAUUCCUUCUGCCAUUGCCAGCUGUAUUAGUCUGUUUUCACACUGCUGAAAAAGACAUCCCCAAGACUGGGCAAUUUACAAAGAAAGAGGUUUAUUGGACUUACAGUUCCACGUGGCUGAGGAGGCCUCACAAUUACGGUGGAAGGUGAAAGGCACGUCUCACAUGGUGGCAGACAAGAGAAGUGAACAUGUGCAAGGAGACUCCCAUUUUUAAAACAGAUCUCGUGAGACUUUUUCACUAUCAUGCAAACAGCAUGGGAAACCUGCCCCCGUGAUUCAGUUACCUCCCACCGGGUCCCUCCCACAACACAUGGGUAUUCAAGAUGAGAUUUGGGUGGGGUUACAGCCAAACUCUAUCACCAGCCUUGCCCCUGGGCAGAAGCAGCAGCAGUCUGCCUGGCUGGAUUCAAAUGAUUCUGAGGCUUCUAUAGUCUAUGCCUGCAGAUCUCUCCCUCACCCAUGCUAUAGUGUCUGAAAUUCCACCAUUAGAGAGUCAUUUCUUGGGCUCUGUUAAAUGGACCAGGCUCUUUUAUAAAGAAAAUGCCCCUGAGCAGCUGGCUCUGGCAUUGAUUUAUGAUAUCUUCUCUUCCCUGCCAGAAGGAAGGAAGCUAAGGUGCAUGUAGGGCGUACUGUGUGCCCAGGCACUGUGCCAGAUGCUUUGGAUACUUGGAGUCAUUGAAUUCUUGUAGUAACCCUGUGAGAGAGGGAGUCUUUUCUCCACAUUGUAGAAGAAGGAAAAAGGGCUCAGAGAGGUCAAGAAAUGUCCCUGAGAUCACAUGGCUUCUAGUGGAGUCAAGAUCCAAACCCAAUGUGUCUGAUUCCUUAGCCCUUGGGGGUCCGGAGGCUGCUGAACAAGAAAGGAGGUGGAGAGGAGAGAAAGCUGCAGGCAUACCACCGCACACCCUUCUCCCUCCCCUGUAAAAACAACCCUGGGAACUCCCUGGACACUAGCAGAAUAUCAUACACUAAGGAUAAGGGAUGAGAGGAGGCUGGUUAGAAAUAAAGCAGUGUCAGGGGGAAGGAGCUACUCAGUAGGCUCUGUGUGAUUCUAGAAAGACUGUAUGAAAAUUCUGAACAGUGAACAGAAUAAACAAUAAAGGUGCAAUGGAAAAAAAUAAAAAAAAAAAAAAAAAA